GGGAUAGUUUAUUUGAUAGUAA
rnacentral:misc_RNA from 1 species